rnacentral:rRNA from 1 species
GACGAAGGGGGCUAGCGUUGUUCGGAAUUACUGGGCGUAAAGCGCGCGUAGGCGCGAGGCAAGUUGGAUGUGAAAGCCCUGGGCUCAACCUAGGAUGUGCAUACAAAACUGCCUCGCUUGAAUCUCGGAGGGGGUCAGGGAAUUCCCGGUGUAGAGGUGAAAUUCGUAGAUAUCGGGAGGAACACCAGUGGCGAAGGCGCUGACCUGGACGAUGGAUUGACGC